CCUACGGGUGGCUGCAGUGGGGAAUAUUGGACAAUGGGGGCAACCCUGAUCCAGCCAUGCCGCGUGUGUGAAGAAGGCCCUCGGGUUGUAAAGCACUUUCAGUGAGGAAGAACGCCUGGUGGUUAAUACCCAUCAGGAAAGACAUCACUCACAGAAGAAGCACCGGCUAACUCCGUGCCAGCAGCCGCGGUAAUACGGAGGGUGCGAGCGUUAAUCGGAAUUACUGGGCGUAAAGCGCGCAUAGGUGGCUUGAUAAGCCGGUUGUGAAAGCCCCGGGCUCAACCUGGGAACGGCAUCCGGAACUGUCAAGCUAGAGUGCAGGAGAGGAAGGUAGAAUUCCCGGUGUAGCGGUGAAAUGCGUAGAGAUCGGGAGGAAUACCAGUGGCGAAGGCGGCCUUCUGGACUGACACUGACACUGAGGUGCGAAAGCGUGGGUAGCAAACAGGAUUAGAUACCCUGGUAGUC
rnacentral:rRNA from 1 species